ACUAUUUGAAAUUCUACAGAUGGAGACUCUCAAAGGGUACUUUUCCCUUUAACUUUCUCUCUUUGUUUCUAAUUUUGUUUUUUAGUAGUUUUAAUUGUUCAGGGUUUGACUCAAACCGUUUGAGAGCUUGGUGUUUACUUGCAACCACAUUCUUGGAUUCUCUAACACAAGGUUGUAAGGCUGAAUAUCGUGUGAAUCAGAUAAGGAAUAACUAUUUUAACUUAUCUUGAAUCAAUAUACAAUUAUAUUAAUCGAAAUAAGCUAGAGAAAGGUUUAUUUGUCUGUGGUAUAAGCAGUGGCAUAAGUUGCUGGAAGAACUUGCACGAUAGAGUAAAACAAGAAUAUCAACUAGCCACGAACUCCUACUUCUUAAAGCACCGCAAUCCGUAGCUGUGAAAAAAUGUGAGAGAUCAAGUUCUAGAGAAAAACCAAAAGCUAAGCAAGAUUCAGAUUUGUGGAAGUAAAGCUUUUGCAUGAUAAUUCAAUAAAAUCAUAUUCAGAUCUAUCGCAAUGGAGCAUUAAAAUGGUCGUGCGUCAUAUUUGCCCAUUCGAGUCCAAAGUCAAGAUCUAUUUAGAGCAAUCAAAAUACACAUUUUGAAAAGAAGUCUUCUUUCAUCCUUGCACGGUGAAGAACAAAGACUCUGCUUCCCUUUCCAGGUUUCACUUUGAUUUUUAUCAGAUAUUUGUCUUUGUGCUAAUAUAUGGUUAUGAAGUUCUACUGUUUCAGAUGGAUUUCGUUAAUAAGUGUUCAUGGGAUUAAUACAACAAUCUUCAGCAUUAAUACAAUUUUUCUUUUCUUUCACUAUAAAGGAUUCUUAUUCGUUUGGUUGUUGAAAGAUACCAAGAACUCUCAUCAAAACUAGAGUACAAUUUUCCAUUGAAGUAGCAAGAGUAGAUCUAUGGAGGUGCUUUCCAGGAUUUUGAAGUAACGUGAAGCUGAAUAUUGAAAAUAUGCAAAGACAAAAAGGCUCGAGCGGGAAUCAGGGAGGUUCACUUCCAUUGACUUACAUCGACAGCAGAAGGCAGUAGUCAAGGUGCUCUCCUGAUUAGGUGGUGCUAGAGAAAACGAAGGAAAGCCUAGGUGCAUGGUGCAACAUAUGGUAAUUUGUUGGAUUGUUGCCCCCAAGACAUGAAAGUACUGAAACCAUUGGAAGGGCUUUGACUCUCGGUGUUAACAUCAAGAUGAUCACUGGCCAGAUAACCAGUUGUAAACUUGGAAUGGGAAUAAACAUGUAUCCAUCUUCGGCUUUUCUUGGUACGCACAAGUGGUAGGAACCAACAAACCCCAUGGAUGAAUAUGUCUCUCAAGUCUCAAUGGUUGUAAGUUUUGUCACGUAAGAGACAUGGAGAACAUACCUGGCAGAGAAUCAAGUGAAUUCCUCCAAAGAACUGAUCAGAUUAGAAAGAGCUAGUGUCUUGCGGCUGAAUAGAAUGGGAGAUAUGUAAAGGAAGGAACAAAUACUUUUGACAAACUAUUUAGGCCAUCGUCAAAGAUUUUGCAACAUACACAUCCAUUAAUUAGUAUUCAGUAGACAGUGGAAAGAAGUGUCUAAAGGAAACUUGAACCCAGAUGUCUGCAUAGAGGUAAAUCCACAUAAGAUCUCACACCCUCGGCCAAGUUCACAUCACACAUUAGAAUUAUAGAACCUUGGUAAGUAGAAUAAACCUACUUAAC
rnacentral:sRNA from 1 species